rnacentral:rRNA from 1 species
ACAACAGGUGGAGCCUGCGGUUUAAUCGGACUCAACGCCGGGAAACUCACCAGGUAAGACAGCUGAAUGAUAGUCGGGCUGAAGACUCUACUUGACUAGCUGAGAGGAGGUGCAUGGCCGUCGUCAGUUCGUACUGUGAAGCAUCCUGUUAAGUCAGGCAACGAGCGAGACCCACGCCAACAGUUGCCAGCUCGUCCUCCGGGAUGGUGGGGACACUGUUGGGACCGCCUCUGCUAAAGAGGAGGAAGGAAUGGGCAACGGUAGGUCAGCAUGCCCCGAAUUAUCUGGGCUACACGCGGGCUACAAUGGGUGGGACAAUGGGUAUCGACACCGAAAGGUGAAGGCAAUCUCCUAAACCCAUCCGUAGUUCGGAUUGUGGGCUGCAACUCGCCCACAUGAAGCUGGAAUCUGUAGUAAUCGUGUCUCAAAAUGGCACGGUGAAUAUGUCCCUGCUCCUU